rnacentral:lncRNA from 1 species
UACGUGCAUAGCUUUGCACUGUUAAGGUCAUGAAACCAACCCACUUACAAGCAUGGCAUCAACUAUUACUUCACAGGGCAAUUGAAUUGCUGCACAUACAGGAACUAUUAUUCUACAGGAAACUAUCUCCUAAUUUCUUGCUCUCUAGUUUGAGAGUAAUUUGGCUUUGGAUGGUUAAGGUCAUGAAAACAACUAAGUUAUUCAAGCAUGACAUUAGCUAUUCCUUCACAAGUCAACUGAAUAGUUGCAUAUAAAAGAUCUAUUAUAUUCUACAAGAAAAGUUCUCAUAAUUAUUUCAUCAAUAGUGAUUGCUUGCACUGGUAGAUCAUAAACCAUCAUAUUGAUAACACUUACCUAUCUGCAUAUGUCCAACUUUUAUUCAAUACUAGCUGAACUAAGCUGAAAAAUAAAAUCAAAAUCAAAGCAUUUAUAUGCCUCGCAAUGGAUAACAGGAACAAUGUAGCUGAAAAAUAAAGUCAAAAUCUGAACCAAACAGAUCUGAGAAAUACUUUAUACAUGUCAAAAUCAAGGCCUAGCAAUGCCCCACAAUGGAUCAGGAACACUUUAGUUGUUGCAGGAACUAUUGCUACGCAAGUACAAUUUUAUCAAACAUGAACACCACCUUCCAGCGUGCGUGCGUGCGUGUGUGUGUGUGUGUGUGUAUUUGAUGAUUGACUAGCCAAGUUUACAUGCAUAUAUCUGAAUAUUAAUGACCUUAUUUCUGAUAGCAUAGAGUUUUGAAUGAGUGCUUUGUUUCACGCUUCUCUUGAAUAAGAGAAACAGAGACAUGAUAAUGUAAGGAUCGAGGAGGUAUGCACAUGAAUUAAUUUUCAAAUAGAUAUCAUCGCUUUAAAUGGAACAUCUUGAAGCUUUCCUUCCCCACUAUAAAAACUGAGCGAGAUUUAUCUCAAUAAUGUUUCAGUUAUAAAAAACAAGAGAAACUAUCUGUGCAUACAAGUGUUUUAGAAGCUACAAUAUAGUAGUGGUCAGGAUAUAGGUUCCAUUUGUUUCAUCCAUCAUUAUAUAGUGUAAUUUCUGUGGAUUGAUACUAGUGACCACAAUGCACAUGCAAUACACUGGAAAACACUAAUACAAUUAUUGUUCACUCGGUUCGAUUGGUAAGUUUACCUUCUAUUAUAAUACAAGCAGUCUCCAGUAUAUGAUUUUGUUCAAAUGUCCAUUGUCGAAACCUAAACAGUAAGAAACCAGCAUGUAACCUGUUAGUCAUAAAUUCUGCAAGGUGUAAAAUUGAUAAUAUAGGUUCCAACAAAAACAACAAAAUUGUAGAAUGACAUAUCAACAUGUCAGUUAAGGGUUUAAAAAUAGCACAAAUUGGAGUAAAAUGUCCAUAUCGUGUAGUUCACAUUAGAAAACAACAAAACAAGUUAUUUCUCAACUUAUCUCAGCAAAGAAAUAAGUAAUGACUAAUGACAUGUAUAUUGUGUAGGGGCAGAGUUGAUAUGCUGCACUGUACCCAUAUGACUCUUGACCAACUGUUAUUUACCAUGUUCAGACAAAAUUC